AUUAGAUCAAAUUAUGAAGCUGCAGGCCCAAUUAUUGGAACAACACAAAAUAUUAGAUAACAGCAAAGCUAAGGAUGCUCAAAUUUUGAGUCUACAUGCUCAGUUACUGGAAAAUAAACAAAUUAGAAUGGGACACUUUCCAAACAGUGAAGGAGGUUUUUCCAAACUCAUCCCUAACUGAACGUGAGGAUGAGUUGGCGUUAGGCGAACACAGUCAGUUAUUCAGUCUACCACCUGACAGUGUGUUAAAGUUAAAUUCUGUUAGUGCUGCACUAAAAGAAUUGUUAGUAAUAAGUCUAUGGAGCGAAGGAAGUGAACAAUUGUGGGACCGUAUUUGGGCUGAAAAUGGAUGUGGUACGGAAACCCAGAAAUAGCACGAGUUCAACAUAAAACAUGAAUUAGAAUUUUAGUGGGGGAUCAAGUCAUGUCUGGAAGUGUUACAGGAUGGAAGAGUGAGCCUACAGUUGAAAAACACUGAAAGUGCAUUACCCUUAAGGUAUAAGGUAAAGUAAUAGAGUAUGCACAUUGUCUAAUGAGAAGUACCAUCUUGUGUGAAUGAAUCCUGUAUAACAGCAAUCCUUUAUAGUUCUGUCACACCUAGAAGCCUCAAAUAAUUCUGCUUCUCUUGCUAAAGAACAACUUGUCCUUUACGUUCAGAGUGUUGGUGAAGCUGGGUACUUAAAUGGCCCUAAAGAUGUUUCAUUUCGUUGGCAUUGCAGCGAUGAACAUCAUACAUGGACUUUU